rnacentral:tRNA from 1 species
GGUUGCGUAGAUUAAAUAAAUUUUAAAGCUGUUAACUUUAAGUUGGUAUCUUACUUUGCCCACAACCG